rnacentral:rRNA from 1 species
UACAGAGGGUGCGAGCGUUGUCCGGAAUCACUGGGCGUAAAGGGCGCGUAGGUGGUGGCUUAAGCGUGCGGUGAAAGCUCGGGGCUCAACCCCGAGUCGGCCGUGCGAACUGGGCUCACUGGAGCAUAGUAGAGGCAGGUGGAAUUCCGGGUGUAGCGGUGGAAUGCGUAGAGAUCCGGAAGAACACCGGUGGCGAAAGCGAUCCGCUGGACCUCAUCUGACGCUGAGGCGCGAAAGCCAGGGGAGCAAACGGG